UGGGGAAUAUUGGACAAUGGGCGAAAGCCUGAUCCAGCCAUGCCGCGUGUGUGAAGAAGGUCUUCGGAUUGUAAAGCACUUUAAGUUGGGAGGAAGGGCAGUAAGCGAAUACCUUGCUGUUUUGACGUUACCGACAGAAUAAGCACCGGCUAACUCUGUGCCAGCAGCCGCGGUAAUACAGAGGGUGCAAGCGUUAAUCGGAAUUACUGGGCGUAAAGCGCGCGUAGGUGGUUCGUUAAGUUGAAUGUGAAAGCCCCGGGCUCAACCUGGGAACUGCAUCCAAAACUGGCGGGCUAGAGUAGGGCAGAGGGUGGUGGAAUUUCCUGUGUAGCGGUGAAAUGCGUAGAUAUAGGAAGGAACACCAGUGGCGAAGGCGACCACCUGGGCUCAUACUGACACUGAGGUGAGAAAGCGUGGAGAGCAAACAGG
rnacentral:rRNA from 1 species